UACGUAGGUGGCAAGCGUUGUCCGGAUUUACUGGGCGUAAAGAGCGCGCAGGCGGUCGUGCAAGUCGCGUGUGAAAGCCCCCGGCUCAACUGGGGAGGGUCACGCGAUACUGCUCGACUCGAAGGCAGGAGAGGGAAGUGGAAUUCCCGGUGUAGUGGUGAAAUGCGUAGAUAUCGGGAGGAACACCAGUGGCGAAGGCAGGUCUCUGGGCUAUAACUGACGCUCAUGCACGAAAGCGUGGGGAGCAAACAGG
rnacentral:rRNA from 1 species